GCUGAAAGAGUAGAUGAUAUUGAGGUCAUUGACGAUAGUCUUCCAGUUGAGAAGCGUUUAUCUUAUCAAGAGAUAGAAAUUGCUACAAAGAAGUUUAAUCCGGAGUGUCUAGUGGAGGAAGCUGGCAUCUAUGUAAAAGUGUAUAGAGAUCGUAGCUAUUGAGCAUUUGGACAGGAGGGGAUCACGUCGACGAGGUAGAGACUAUCUUUUACAUGUGAAGAUAUUGAGUUGCCUCAAUCAUCCAAAUUUGAUCCGUUUGAUAGCAUAUUGUAAUGAAGGAAAUGAUUGUAGAUAUUUAGUGCAUGAAUAUCUAUCUUUGGGAUCCCUAGACAAGUAUCUACACGAUAGGUCAUCCCUGCAAAAGUGACCUUUAGAUUGGGACAGGAGCACUACUAGAAAUAGGCUAAAUAGCGACGGAAUUGUUGCGACGAACCCCUUUUUCCGUCGCAAAGUUCACAUUUUACGAUGGAGUUUGUUUCAUCGCACUUUAGCGACGGAAUAGUUGAGU